rnacentral:tRNA from 1 species
GGAGCAGUAUCGAAGUGGUCAUAACGAGGUUGAUUCGAAAUCAAUUAGGCGUGUUAAAUCGCCACGUGGGUUCGAAUCCCACCUGCUCCG